rnacentral:lncRNA from 1 species
CUCUGAUUGAGCACUCAUUGAACCAUUUGAUGUAGUAUCAAAUUUUGUGGUCAGCUUUGGACAUUGACGCACCUCCAACAUCCACAAACGAGGGAAUAUGAAAUCAUAACAUCCAUGACUGAAGUAGAGAAUGCUUGGUAAUUUUUCUAGAAUCAGCCACUGCAGAUCAGGGAGCACCAUCUCCUUCUCAAGAUUGGCAGGUGAAGCGUGAUCACCCUGCCCAAAUACUCCCAAUAAUUGAGAGGAUUCACUUACUUUAAGUCCUUGGAGCUUUUUGAGACCUGAAGCCAUGGCUAUCGGGAAGAGACUCUUCAACUUGUUGCAUCUUCUGAUCUUAAUUCGACACAAAUUAGGGAAGCAUGAAGAUUGGAGAUCACUUCCUGAAAAUAUCUGAUCCUUUUCAUCAUCAUUAUCCUUAGCAAUGAUUUGCUCCAAUUCCUCACAGUCUGAUAUCUCUAGAAAUUCCAGUUGAACUAGACUAGCAAUCAUGCUGUUUGUGAAUACAUGUGUCAGUCUCUUACACUCGUUCACCUUCAAAGAAGUCAAAUUGCUCGGCACGAGACCUCUCCAAAUACACCUCAAGUUUGGCAAUAAGUUCAAGAAUGUUUCCAAACUCACGAUUGAAAGUUCAUGCCCACCUCUUCGAUUAGUUAUCAAACAUCCAACUUGCAUUAAAUCUUGUACUCCUUCCAUGUUUUCAAUAGAUCUUUCUUUCAAAUUCAUAGACCCCUCUGAUUGAGCACUCAUUGAACCAUUUGAUGUGGUACCAAAUAUUGUGGUUAGCUUUGGGCAUCCAUCCACCUUCAACUUCUUCAAAUGAGGGAACAAGAAAUCAGAACAUCCGAGACUAAAGCAGGAAAUACUUGGUAAUUGUACAAGCAACAACUCCUGCAGAUCAGGGAGCACCAUCUCCUUCUCAAGAUUGGCAGGUGAAGCGUGAUCACCCUGCCCAAAUACUCCCAAUAAUUGAGAGGAUUCCCUUACUUCAAGUAUUUCAAGCCUUUUGAGACCGAAAGCCAUGGCUAUCGGGAAGAGACUCUGCAACUUGUUGCAUCCUGUGAUCUCAAGUCGACACAAAUUAGGGAAGCAUGAAGAUUGGAGAUCACUUCCUGAAAAUAUCUGAUCCUUUUCAUCAUCAUUAUCCUUAGCAAUGAUUUGCUCCAAUUCCUCACAGUCUGAUAUCUCUAGAAAUUCCAGUUGAAUUAGACUAGCAAUCAUGCUGUUUGUGAAUACAUGUGUCAGUCUCUUACACCUUUUCACCUCCAAAGUAGUCAAAUUGCAUGGCCCGAGACCCUUCCAUAGACACCUCAAGUCAGGCACACGCAGGGAGGACAACCUCAAUGUUUCCAAACUUGUAAACCCCUGCAUCAAAAGAAAACAGGGGUACCAAUUUGUUAGAUAUAAUUCCUAGUAAUUUUUGUGGACUUUGAAACUAUUAUAUAAUUUUGUUAAAUAGAUGAACCAAUUAUCCCCAAUACCGAAAUACUUAUCAACAAGAAGAUAUAGAUAGACAAGGCAACGGGUCAUGAGAAUAUAAAAUCAUAUUUUUUCAUAUUCAUGAUAAUCUGAAUACAAACUAUUAUUUUAUAUUAGUUAAAUUAAAAGCAAUCAUUAAAAAUUACACUUUAACUCAAAAAAUUAAUUUUUUAUAUUCGAUUUAUAAUAAAAAAACAAUUAUGACAUUUUCCAAAAAUAAAAAUAUAAAAGAAAAUAAUUUGAAUUUUACAUAUUAGUAAAAUGUUUUAAUAAAAAUGCUUGAUUAUGUAUCAUUUAAAUUAUUUUUUUCAUAAAAAAAAAGUGAAAACAAAUUGUAAAAAAAAUGAAAAAAAUAUUAAAAAAAUAUGUUUUUUGAAUUCAAUACAAAUUUGGUGCUUUGAAGUUCUUUGAAUGAGAAAAAAUUGUGUUUAAAAAGAAAAUUUCAAUUUUUGCUUUUUAACUCUAAUUGUUUAGAAAAAAUAAACCAAAUACGAAGCCUCAAUUUCACUCCUUUUAAAUUUAGUGGAUGGCUAAAGGAUUUGCUACCGUUUAUCCAUUACUUUAGUUUUAGAAAUAUGAAGGCAGAAAUAAGAAAUUACAUUACAGUAAUUGAUGUCUAACUUCCUAAGCCAAUUUAAAUCAUCAAUUAAAUUCAGUGGAUGGUUAAAGAACUUAUCAAUUACUUUAGUUUUAGAAAUUUGGAGGAAGAUAGAACAAAUUAUCACAAUGUAUUGAAGCUGACAAUUUAAAUUAGAAAAGAAAAAAAAAUGGAGAAAUAUAAAGGACAUACUUGAAGCUGUGCCAACAAAUUACCCCCUUCUUCGAGGCCAUCAAUGGUUAACCCUUGCAAAGAAGGCAGUUGGGCAGCGAAAUCCUUUGGAUCAAAAAAGCUGCAACUUGAUACGGAAAAAAAAGACAAUUUUCUUAGCUGAGGGAAGUCAAUGAUGCCAUCUUUAAUUUUAGACUUGACGAUGAUGUCAUCUCCUUCUCCACUGUAAAAUACUUGCUUUAAAUUGACAUAAAAAUAAAUCUCCAUCUCUUCCAGGUUCUGUAGACAACCUUGCAAUCAAAUUCACAGGAAUCCUUCUUAGGAAUUCACAAGCUGUAACAUCCAACAACCUUAACUCCUUGAGAUCCCCAAUUUCUUCAGGUAAUUCUUUAAUAGAGUCGCACCCUGUAAAACCAAGAAUCUUAAGUUUUUGCAGCUUUCUCAACCAGAUAAGGUCCUUGCAUUCACACUCGAACAACAGCAACGAUUGAAGGUUCGUCGAGAAUUGAAGUGAUUGCAAUGACAAACACCCUCCCUCUAGAGACAAAACUUCAAUUGCUUUCAUCCCUUCAAAAAAACUCUCUGGAACAUACAAACCACGAUCCAGUCCUAACAAUAGAACUUUGAGCUGUGGACACACCAAUCCUUCAGGAAGUUCUGCUAGUUUAUUCUCCAUUAACGAGAUUGUUGUACAGCCUUCAAAGCUUUUAUUGCCCGUUGGCCACUCCUUCAACCCAAUGCCAGCCUUCACCAUGAAUCCGUAUUUUUCUGAUGAUGCUAUCUGAAUAGCAACAUCACGAACCAAGUCAUGCAUUUUCACAUAUUCUUCAGUUUCAGUUCCUAACAGCAUACAACAAGCUUUGAGGUUUUCGAUUUCCAUAUAAACUCGUUUCCUUACACCUUCAAUGGACUGCACAUCUUGAUAUAACCCGUAGCCAACUGCAUAUCUCGUCAACUCCUCGAUUGGAAUCUUGUUAUCUUCUGGAAAUAAACAACAUAGCAAGAAACAUAACUUGGUUUCCUCGUGCUUCAAAUAAUCAUAGCUCAAUUUAAGACAUGCAUAUGCAUUUCUUCUGUCAUCAAAUGUUUCUACGUGCCGAGAUUGAGAUUUUUUGAGCUCUUCAGAUGCUACUUCCCACUCAUUUUUAGAUUUACCUUUUAGAGCCUUUCCCACUGCCACAAGUGCUAUAGGCAAGCCUUGGCAUUCUCUCGCAACCUUCUUUGCCACUCUGUUCAAGUCAGAGUCCUCAUCACGUAAACCUGCAUUGAUUUUGAAUAAAGCCCAUGCUUCAUUUUCGGAUAGGACUCUUAAAAACACUUUUUCCUGGCAAUCCAUAGAAGAGCAUAUGUUUUCAAGACGUGUUGCUAGAAGAAUUUUACAACCCCUGUGAGCAUCACCAAAUGGGAUCCCUAUCUCUUUCAAGUUAAUAUCUUUCCAAACAUCAUCCAGGAUAAUAAGCAUCUUCUUCUCUGUCUUCAGUCUCUGCCACAAUCGAUCUGCUCUCCCUUCCUUGGUCUUUUCGUCAAUAUGCAGACCUAAACGUUCUGCCAUUCGAUCCUGAAUGCCUUGGACAUUUGGAUUCUGGGACAGUGUAACCAUGAAAACUUCAUCAAACAACUGCAACUCUUUGGCUCUCCUGCCCACUUCUUUCACCAGGGUGGUUUUACCCACCCCUCCCAUGCCAUACAGUCCGAUCAUUUUGACAUUGUCAUCUUUGAGAGCCUUCAUAAUCUGUUCGGAAGCUUCUUUUGACGAUUUCGAGGGUGUGAAUCCCUCUGAUGGAAGAAAUUCUAUGUCUUGAAGAGGUGCUUUGUGAGACACUUUUGGAAACUUACAGUUUGCUUCAAGUUUUCUCAAAGUCUCCGUCUUCUUUGCCAGUGCCUUGCUUAACUUGAAUUGUCGCAUCGAAUUUGGGCACCAAGUAAAGCAUUUGCCAAUUUUUCCUUUUUCAUUUUGCAAACGUUUCACACCUUCAAUUUCGUUUUUUGCGUCUUCCAGCCAUGUGUUGACAUCAAUCUCAAUUUCUUCAGCAUUCCGUUGAGCAACGUCGACAGCAUCUUGCAGACGAUAAAAUGCCAAAGCCAGGUUCAUCAUUUGUUCAUCGAAUUCUUGAACAAAAUUGUUGAAACAGAACAUGUAACGGAACUGCUUGAUUGCUGGUUCCACCAAGAGUUCUGCUAUCUUAGAUACAAUAGAUCCACCAACACAUUCGAUAGCCAUUUUCCACCAGUCUGAAAAAUUAGAGAAAUGAGGAUGCUGAGUGUGAGAGUGAAUCUUUACAAGUAAAAUAGGCAAUGAGAGAAUGAGAAUAGUAAUUUUAUUACCUUAAUUUGUGAAAAUAUAUGCGGAAAGCACUGGUACUGACUGUCCAAUAAUUAAAUAUAGCGAGAGGAACAAAAGGAAGAAGGCCUUUAGCUCUGUAUGGAAGCCAGCUUCAAAAGCAACAAGGCCAGGUAUAAGUAGAACGAUAAACAAUUAAUCCCUUUGUUCCCUCAUCAAUAUCUAUCCACGCCAUGUGUUAAAAUUCACACUUACCCUAACAAUUAUUUACACCAUAGUUUAUAGAUCUCUGUGCUUUUCCAUAAAAAAGAUAGAAAUACUUUUUUUUCCCCUCAAAACCAAUAAAAAGAAUUUCUUUAGUGAAAGAUAGAAUAUCAUCACUCUAAUGAAAAUAUUUAUAAAAGAACGACUUUAUGUUAAAAAGAGGAGAAAAAGUGUAAUUUGAUGACAUAAUUAAGAUAGUCUGCAUAAGGAGACUUGCAAGGAAGUAUAAUUAAUGGAACGAACUCAACAAAGGAUCAAUCUUAGCCAACUAAAAUCUGUAAUGACUAUCUCUACAUCAUACGCUUAUUUACACAACAUCUUUAUCUAAUGAAGCUGAUUUGGUUUCAAUUUUAUUAUCUUCAAUUUCGAUAUAUAUAGUUCAUAUAUAGAUCUAUGUGCUUUUUCCAUAAAACAAAGAUAGAAAUACUUUUUUUUUCCUUCUCAAAACCAAUAAACAGAAUUUCAUUAGUGAAAGAUAGAAUACCAUCGAUCUAACGAAUACAUUGAAACAAAAUAGUUUACACUUAUGAGUUUAAAGCAGCAAUUCCCACAAAAAAGCAAAUUUAUGACAUAAUUAAGAUAAAAGGCAUAUUAUAAAGAUAAUGACAAACAAAUAAAAGAAUAAUAUGUACAAGUACUCACCUAGCAAAGAGAGAAAGGAAUGGAAGGCUGAUGAAGAUCACUGUGACCCUGCACGAAUGAUACUAGCUCCUCUUUGCUUCCAAUAACACAUUAAUCUAAAGCUAUGAUCGGUAAAUGUUUUUUUUUUUUUGAAAAUUAUGAAUAAGGUGAAAAAAAAGACUUGCAAGGAGCUCCACAAAGGAUCAAACUUAGGCAACUAAAAUCUGCAAUGACUAUCUCUUGCAUCACACACUCAAGUAAUAAGACCUGCCCAUUACAUUAUACAGAAAGCUAAAAGAACAAGGCAAUUGAUAGCAUCCAACAAGGUUUUAUUUCAUUUCAGUCCUUCCAUGUUUUUCUAUUUCUUCCUUCGAUGCAUCAAAUUGUUUUUUUUUAAUUUGAUUUAAUAGGGUGUUGUUUUUCUCUUGAGUUGUUGUGAUUACCCUCGCAUAUGCGCUAUGCUGGGAAUUACAAUUACAAAUUACAGUUUCAAAUUUAGAAAACAAUUAAGAGAAAGGACCUGUGACAUGGAGAUAAGGUCAUCCGAGAAGCCAUUAGAUUGUCGUCACUUGUUCAACCUUAUCUUUCCCUUACAUUUUUUUUAAUGUUUUUUUAAUUGAAUUUGCAUGAGUUUUGUUUAAAAAUAUAUUAAAUUAAUAUUUUUAUGAUUUUAAUAUAUCAAUAUAUUAAUCUUCCGCUAGUUUUACUUUUAUCAUUUUCUUCUUUCUUAUCUUCUUAAUUAUUAGAUGCAUAGCUGGUCUUUCAAUUCACUUAUAAAUAGUCAAAUCAAUUGUUUUUAUUAAAACAAUAAUAUACAAGAAAACAAACCCUAGAAUAGGUUUGAUGGAAAUAUAGAAAUUAACUAGGGAGGGAGAGUCUAUCUCCACCAUGCACCUUAUUCUGCCUUGUCUUUUAGCACCACACAGUACCUCUCUGAUGGAGGCCAUAAAAUCAUGUUCUUGCUUUUCAAAGCAUUCUCCUGUUCCUCUUAGCACGAGAUAGAAUAUAGAGCUAAAAAAACUUUACCUGACUUCAGCGGUCCUGACGAAAGCAAGGAAAUAAUGGUGAGAAGAGGUCAAUUCCCUGUCAUUUUCUCGAGGACAAAGAUAGUAAUGGCGACUUUCUUUGCAUGUGAUGUUACAAUUCCAUGUCAUUUCCACGAGGACAAUAAUGAUUACAAUAAUGUUUUAAAAAGUUUGCAUGUGAUAUUUAAUAACACAGGUUUUUUUUCAUCUAAAAACACUAUAAAAAUCUUUAUAUAUCAAAAAUAAAAUCUUAAAAUUAUUCAAAAAAUAAAAAUAAACUAAAUAAAAAAAAUCUAAAUGAAACUCAAUGUACUUCUCAGACAUGUUUAUAGAAAUAAACUACCACUAUCAAGCUUCUCUCAUGUAAUAAAACUUAUUAAUAUAAAAAAAUUAUAAAUUUUGUCUUUCAAAAGUACUCAUUCACAAACUUCACCCUUUUUUUUAUUGUUUUCAAACGACUUUCUCUCUUAUAUUUUGAGCUCAAGAAUUUAAAAUGUCAAGAAAAUAAAAUUUUAAACUAAAAUUAAAAUUACAAAAAUUAAAGGAACUAUAGAAUAAAAAAAUACGUUAACUAAACAUAACAUUUUCUAACAAAUUUAAGAUUAAUUAUUGGAUUUCUUCUUAUUUUAUACUUUGAUACUCUAUUGUUGAAUUUUUUUUCUUUUUUAAUAAAUUUUAGGUAUAAUUAAAAAAAAAUCUCCUGUUUUUUUUUUCAAUUGAGAAAUUAUGAUUUGCCUCCUUGUUCAACAGGAAAAAGCAAAUUAGACAAAAAGAAUUUUUUUUUCAUUAGUAAAUAAUAAAUAUAAGUCUACGUAAUUAAUUUUAUUACAAACCUUGUUUUUUUCUCACACAUUAUUUCUCUCUCCAACCUCUCUCUAAAGCAAAUUUGGCUAAAUUCAACCUUUUUUUCGAUUUAAUUUUCAAUCAGACUCCUAAUUCAUCCUCAAAAUUAUAGUUGGCCUAAUUUCACCUAUUUUAGACCACUUCUUACUUUUAAAAAUUUAUUAUUUGUUUGAUUUCAUCCCAAAUCAUAAUUUUUUUAUAUUAUAUUUUUUUUUGAAUUUCUGAUAUUUUUUCAAUAAUUGUUUCUUUUUUAAAAAAAACAUGCCCAAUUUUGUUCAAGAUUUAAUGAUAGGAAUAGAUAAGGGGUAUUUUAUACCCAAAAAUUCUUCUUCUUUUUUAAUUUUAUUUUUAACCCAUAACACCUACAAAACACCUUAUAGACCGUGAUAAAUCAUUUAUGACCUCAAAUAACCCAGUAAUUAGUUAAAAAACUCAAAGCAACUUGAAUUAACCUUUUUUUGCUUUUGAGGAAGAUGUAAAAUUCUCAUUGACGAAUGAAUCUUAUUAACACCAAUAUCGACCUUUUACAUGGCUAUGAUCGAUGUCAACUAAUGACUUUCUUUUUUUUCAACUUGAAUCCAGUACCCUUCUCUCUCAUCUCUCAAACCAAUAAUUGAAAAUAAAAAAAGUAAUUUUCAUUAAAAAAAUGAGUGUUCAAAAACUAGAAGGAUUAAAAAAUUAUAAUUUAAACAAAGUGAACUUUUCUCGCUAAUUUUGAAUCUGCCACCUUUUUUUUGUUAUUUUUCUCUUUGGUCCCUAAUCUUUUUAAUCUUACCCUUUCAUAACAAACCAAAAGCAAUUAGCCAUCAAUUUGACUACAAAAUGAAAAAAUUAAGAAGAAGAAAAAUCACCACUCCAGUUCAUAAUGAAAUGUGAAAGGCUUUAUAGUGAAUGGUGCUAUCAUAAAAUCACCUCACAGUUUAUUAAUUUAUCUUUUUAUGUUAUGUCUUGGUUAGAAAUACUUGACUCACUAGUUGUUUUUUCUCCAAAAAUCCAUAAAAAGUAGUGUAACAAUAAAUAGAUGGCUCGUGUUAUAUCAUUGGUAGACCCAAUUUCUUUUCAACAUAAAGAAAUGAUACUAACACAAUGCAAGCACUUAUAAAAAAACAAAAAAAAGUUGAGACUCGUGUCAUUGACUCAAUUAUGUUUAAUAAGAUAGGUUAAUUGAAAAACACAAAUGACAAAUACCACGGCUAUAAAAUUUUUUUAAAAAAAUAGCACUCAAAAAAGGUAAAAAAAAAUAAAAUUGAGCUAAUCCAUGUUAGUAUGCAAAAUAUACAACUUGGUCAUGACAUCGGUGUAACCCCGUAGAAAAAAAAUUAAAUAAAAUCAUGAAACUCAAUUAUCAAAUAACCUAAUAUCAAAGGGCAAAGCUAAAAAAACAACGCGAGUUAAACCCGUUUAACCUAUUAACUCCAUGAUUAUAGGUAUAAGAUUGAAUUAUCAAUUAAAUGUUGAAAUAUGAAAUAAAAAAAAUCAAAUGUUGAAGGAUCUUAUCUUAUAAUGAAGAAAAAUUUAAAUAAGAAUGUGAAAACAUUCAAAGCUUAAUUUCUAGUAAAUAAAAUAUUGAAAGAUGAAUUGAAGAUAAAAUAUAAUCUCAAAAAAGUUUUGAAAAAAACCCUACUCGAUUCCACCGGGUCAGUAUACAAAAUCCGUGACCUAGUUACGAUAUUGGACAACCUCAUCAAAAGCAAAUAGAAUAAAACUAUGAAACUUAAUUAUCAAACAACCUAAUGUUGAAGAGUAAGAUAACUCGUAUCAUUUUUAAAAUCAAUGAGAAAUCCAAUAGAAAGAAAAUAAAAAACUAGAGCCUAAUAUUCAAUUAAAUAAAUAUUGAAGGAUAAAACUAGAAAGCCAUAAGAUUAAAAAAGGGGGGACACCCAAGUAAACUCGAGCAAAUCUUUUAAACUUAUGUUAAUUUUUUAAACUCGUAACUCGUGAAUUUCUAAACCUUGGCUCAAUAAAAAAAACUCUAUUCUCAACUAAUUUAAUGUUGAAGGAUGAAGUGAAAAAAAUUAUUUAAAAAAUUAAAAAAAAAAUUAAAAGAAUGAGGAUCAAACCUAAUAGAAAAAAAAACCAGAGGAUGAAAUAAAAAAUUAAUUUUAAAAAUUAUCUCAAAUAAAAUAAAUAGAAAUAAAAAAAAAGGUGACCGAAUUUGGCAUAUUACAAAAUUAAAGGAGGUUGAAAUUGAAAAAACAAUCUAAUUCAAUUAAAAAAAACAAACUAAACAAAUCAUGAAGUCUAAUUAUAAAUUAAAUUAAAUAUUAAAUAAUGAGAUUGGGGGGGAAGCCAGUUAAAAAAAGAGAAAAAAAAAGAGUCAACUUGUUUAACCGGCCAAUCCCGUUACCCAAGUCAUGAAACAAGGAUAAAUUAAUAAAAUAUAAAUUCAAUGUUGAAAGACUAAUGAUCCAGGUAAUGAGACUGGGAUAACUUUUUAGAAAAGAAAUAAAAAAACUCGAUUUAAAAUGUUAAAACCCUAAACCUUGAUCAUAAAACCAAGAUAUUCUUGUAAAAUAUAAAUUAAAAUAAAUCAUAAAACUCAAGUCUUAACCAAUCCAAUGUUGAAUGAUGAAAUUGUAAAAAAUCUCAAUUAAAAAAAGGUACAAAAUACAAACUAAGUUAACUCAGGUUAACUUAUUAAGAACUAUUCAUGUAUUAUAAGGUUGAAAUAAUUCAAUAAAAAACUAAUGAAACAAUGAUGAAGCUUAAUUAUCAAUAUACUUAAUAUUAAAUGAUGAGACUAAGAAGAAAAAGUUACUUAAGAAAAAAAUCUCAAGUAAAUCAGGUUAACUCAUUAAAUUUGUGAUCCUUGCAAUAAGAAUGAGAUAAAUCAAUAAAAAAUAAAUUUAAUAUUAAAAAAUGAAUUGUUUUUUAUAUAAAAAAAUAUUAAUUAAAAGAAUAAAAAAUUAUUAAUCAAAUAAAUAGUGUUUUGUGAGGAGGGGUUAUAAUAAAAACCCCCUCUCAUUUAGUAUUUUCUAGUUAAUUUAAUAUUAAUGAAAGUUUUUAAAAGAGAAAAUGGGGAUAAGUGAGAGAAAGUAAACUCAUCUUUUGAUAUGGUGAUUGAGCCGAUUUUUCUUUUUAAAACUUGAUGCCCCUCUAGAUAGAAAUCAUUGAAUGUAGCAUAGUUAAAGGUUAUGUAUAUAGAAAAGAAGCUAAACUCUCUUAAUUUCUCAUAUUAAAGGGUGGAUGAUAUGCUAUCCACUCUUUAUUCAAAAAAAAAAAUGGAUAUAGAGAAUGUAUUGCUAUAUUUAUAUUAGAAAAUGAAGCAUCAUUUGCUAUCCACUCUUUAUUCAAAAAAAAAAAAUGGAUAUGCUUGUUUAGAAAUUAAUGAUCGAAUUAGAAUAAGGGUAUUUUAUAUCCAAAAGUUCUUUUUAACUCAUAACACCUAGAAAACACCCUAAAAGCUUUGAUAAAUUUAUUUAUAGACUUAAAUAACCUAGUAAAUGGUAAAAAAACCCAGAAGCAACUUUAAUUAACCUUUUUUGCUUUUACAAAAGACAAAGAACACCUAAGUAAAAUUCUCAGACAAGAAAAAAGACCAAGAACACCUAAGUAAAACUAUUAGACAAGAAGAAAGAUGAAAAACACCUAAAUAAAAUUCUCAUCAUCAAAUAAAUCUUACUAACACCAAAAUCAACCUUUUACAUGGCUAAGAUUGAUGUUAAUUAAUGACUUUUUCUUUCUUCAAUUAAAAUCCAACAACCUUCUCUCUCAUUGACUAGAAAUAAAAAAAAUCAAUAAAAAAAUGAAUUUUCAAAAAUUACAAGGAUUGAAAAUUUAUAAUUCAAACAAAGUGCACUUUUUUGUUAAUUUUAAAAUUACCAUCUAUUUUUUUUUUUAUCUCUGAUCCUUUAUCUUUUAAUCUUAUUCUUUCAUUACAAACUAAAAACAAUUGUCCAUCAAUUUGACCACAAAAUGAUAAAAUUAAAAGAAAAAAAUGUUUGAGCAUUAAAAGAAAAAAAUCACUACUCCGUUUAUAAUAAAAUGUGAGAGGGUUCAUAAUGAAUAGUACCGUCAUGAAAUCACCUCACGGAUUAUUAAUUUAUUUUGAUAAUGUUAUGCCCACCACAUAACUAUAGUAGAGUUGAAGGUUGUGUUUUGUGAGGAAGGGUAUAAUAAUUAAAAAAAUCCUUUUUUUUGUUCAUUUAAUAUUUAAUUAGAAUUUUUUAAAUACAAAACAGGGACAAUUGAGAGACGGGGGAAAAAGCAAGUAAGCUUAUCUUUUGAAAUGGUGGACGGGCCAGUUUUUCUUUGCCUUUUCUUUUUAAAACCUAGAUGCCCUUGGAUAGAAAUUCCUUGACCCCCACAGCAACUGUAGCAGAGUUGAAGGUUAUGUAAAAAAAGUCUAAACUCCACCGAAAGUAUUGGAGCAUUAGAGUUUUUAAAAGACAAUGGGGACAAGUGCUUUCCGCUUGUAUUCUUAAACUAUUUAAAUAUAUUCUUAAAUAAAAAAUAAUUUAAAAAAACAUCUUAUAUUACAUUACCAAUCCCACACUCUCUUGGUAUUCUUUAAUCAUUCUCUGGUUUUACUUUUAUCCUUUUCUUCUUUUCUAUUAUUUUUAUUAAAACAAUAAUAUACAAGAAAAAAAACCCUCCUCAGAUUGUUAAUUUAGAAAUUAACAAGGGAGAGUCGAUUUCCACUGUACACCUUCAGAGUAAAAUAUCAAUAAUGAAGUGGUUCAACUAACGUUAGUGUCUCAAGAUUUAAAAUACACUAUUUUAUUUACCUGUAAUUUGCAACAAGUUAAAUAAACUUUUUAAAAUUAUAAAAUUUAAGAAUCAAUCAAUCUAAUAUUAAAUAAUAAAAUUAUAAAAAAUAUUUAAUUAAAAAAAACCGAAUUAACUCAGAUUAACCCAUUAAACACAAUACUCAAAUCAUGAAGUCGAAAUAACCCAAUAAAAAAUAAAUAAAAUAAAUUAUAAAACCUAAUUAUCAAUUAAUCUAAUAAUAAAUAAUAAGAUUAAAAAGAAUAAAAUAAAUUAUAAAACCUAAUUAUCAUUCAAUCUAAUAAUAAAUAAUAAGAUUAAAAAAAAAUUAAUUAAAAAAAACAAGUGAAUUGGAUCAACUCACCAAACAUGUGAUCCAUCUAAUAGGAGUAAGAUAAUCCAAUAAAAAAUAAAUCUAAAGUUAAAUAAUAAAUUUUUUAUAUAAAAAGGCAUUAAUUAAAAAAAUAAAAAAAUAUUAAUCAAAUAAAUGGUAUUUUAUGAGAAGAAAUUAUAAAAGAAUAAAAAAAUAUUGAUCAAAUAAAAACCCUUUCUCAUUUAAUAUUUUCUUGUUAAUUUAAUAGUAAUUAGAGUUUUAAAAAAAGAAAACGGGGACAAGUGAGAGAAAGUAAGCGCGGUUUUUCUUUGCCUAUUCUUUUUAAAACUUGAUGCCCCUCCUGGAUAGAACCCCACAGUAACUGUAGCAGAGUUGAAGGUUAUGUAAAAAGAAGCUAAACUCCACCGAAAGUAUUGGAGCAUUAUUAGAGUUUUUGAAAGACAAAACGGGGACACGUGCUUUUCGCUUUUCCAAGAUACACACCAUCAUGUUAUGGUGAUCUUCGAGGAAUUUCACCAAAUCCAACCUUUUUCUUCAAUUUUCUUUUGAAUCAAACUUCUAAUUGAUCCUCAAAAUUAUAAGUGGCCUGAUUGUACAUGUUUUAGACCACUUCUUGCUUUUUAAAAUUUUUUUAUUUGUUUGAUUUCAUCCCAAAUCAUAAUUUUUAUUUUUAAUUUAUUUUUUGUGAUUUUUUAAAUUCUUGAUAUUUUUUUCACUAUUGUUUCUUUUAAAAAAAUGUGUUCAAUUUUGUCUACAAAAUGUUUUGAUUCACAAUUUAUGUGUUUUUUAAAGCAAGUAAAAAUUGGGUUAUUGACCAUGAGUAAAAAAUGUAUCACAUCUAUUUAAUAAAACAUAUGUUUAUGGAAUAAUCAAGACAUAAUUAAAAAUUAAAAAUAAUUGUUAACGAUAAUAAAAGAUCAAGUUGAAAAGUUAAGAAACCUCCCAAACUGAGCCCGUUUAAAAUAAACAGGACAAGAGCCCACUUGAUGUGAUUUUAUAAAAUAAUAAUUUUAAAUGAUAUUUUUUAUUUUUUUAUACAUUAAAUAAUAUUUUUUUAUAGAUUUGAGUUAUUUCCAGUUAAGUUAUUAAACUUACAAACUAGAAACUAGAUGAUAGACACGAAUGGGAUCAAUAAUUUUAUUUUUUUAUUUUCUAACUAUAAAAUAAUAAAAGUUGACAUGCAAAGGAAAGUUAUCAAAUAAAGUUUAAUUGAGGAAAACCAUACAGGAGGUUUGUAAAAAAAAAAAAAAAGAGUAUUUAAUCAAACAACAAACAAAAAAGUUUUAUCAAUCACAUAAAUGUUUUUAUAUAAAAAAGAAAAAAACCACCACGAAAGGGUGUAAAGAAAGAAAUGUUGCUAAAAUAAUAUGAAAAAAGGUUACAAUCUUAAAAGAAUUGAAAUUUCAAUGGUAUCUGAUAAAAAAAGUUCUAAUUGUUUUUUAACUAAUCCUUUAGAAUGAUUAAAGUGUAAAAUGCAGGGGCAAUAAAAAAAAGGCAAAAGAAGUUAGACAUGUGGGUCCAUGUACCUAACUCAUUAAAGAAAAGGCCUCCCUCGUGAGCCAGACUUUUUAAUUUUUUAUAUUAAAAACUGGAUGACAUAUCAUCUCUUCUUUAUCAAAGAAAACAAAAAAUAAUGUAUUGCUACAAUUACAUUUGAAAAUGACGCGUCGUUUGCUUGUGUAGAAUUUAAUGACGGGAUUAGGUUAUGGGUAUUUCAUGCUCAAAAAUUCAUUUUUCACUGAACUGUAGCAGAGCUGAAGGUUAAGUGAAAAAAAGAAGCUAAACUCCACCGAAAGUAUUGGAGCAUUAGAGUUUCUAAAAGGCAAAACGGCGACAAGUGCUUUCCGCUUGUCCAGGAUGCACACCAUGAUAUGGUGCUCUGAGAUACAGCGGUCCUCCAGAAUCGAUUUAAGAACUUCAAAACUAAAAUCUUUUUAUAAAUACUUUUAUAUUUGGUCUCUUCGUAAUCUCAACAGGGGCAAACAUUAAAUAUACCAUUAAAUUACUUGGGUAUUAUCGACUUUGCACCCAAUUUAUUUUUAUAUCAACAUUAUUACUAAAUUUUUUUGAUUUUUCAAUUAAGUAUUUUACUACCCAAGGGCUAAAAAUAAUUUUUUUUCAUAGAGAAGCUUUGUUUUUCAACUAAUAAAAAUAGAACUAGUUAAUAUUAUGUUAUUGGUUGGAUAAAAAAAAAUUAAUAUAAAAAAAUAAUAUUUAGGUAAUAGAAAAUUUACUGAAUAAUUAUUAAACUAAGUCUAAUGAGUCAAUCUUAAAAUCUUUUAAUCACUAGGACUUCAAAUCAAAUUAUUUAAGAGUUUUCUUGAUUAUAAAUUUUAUUAAGUUUAAUAUUUUUUUAUAAAAUUAUUUUUAUUUAAUUAUAUAAAAAAAUUAAUACUCGAAAACAAAGAAAAUGCUAAUUUUAUUUAUUUAUAUAAUAAAAAAAUGUAACUCUAAAAUCCUACAACUUGUGUUCAGGUUCUGGGGUUUAAAUUCUGUCAGCCUAUGCCCCGGGAAAGAGCUUCAUUUUAUCGGUCUUCUUAGGUGCAAUAUUGAGUCUAUUUCUUUUUUCCAACUGCAGAAUUGAUAAAUUUAUGAAAAUAUUGCUUAUACAAACAGAUUUGUACCCUAUAAAUAUAUACUCUUAAAACCAUAUUUGAAUUCUAUAUUCCUAAAUGAAGGAACAGUAAAGAUUGUUGCAUGUACCUAUUCUCCUUCAAAAAAACAAAUAAUAAAAUCCUAUAUGUCAAUGAAGAUUUAAUUAUAAUUUAACAUGUUCAAGAAUAAUACAAAUCAUAUCUUAAAAUCUCACCUAUAUAAAUUAUAUCCUUGUUCCUUGACAUGGUAUCAGAGCUUUUAUAACCAAACAGUUAUGAGUUUGAAUUUCACCAUCUUCAUUUAUUUGUUUUUUAAAAAUAUGUCAUCUUGAAUUUAUUUAGUCAAACUAUAUUUUUAACGAUUGUCCGAUUUGUUUUGAGACCUAUCAAGUUGAUCAGGUCACAUCAAGACAUUUUUUUUUAUUAGAAAGCACACUUAGCAAAUAAUAAUUUAGUCUUGAUAAAACUAAUUAAUCAAUUCCAUAGUUUCAAUAACAAUAUGUUUAAUUCUUAUAUUUUUAGUUAUAUAUAGUUUAGUACUGUCAAUUUCAAGUUCUUUUACAAGUUUUUUUUUUUUUGCUUCCUUCUUGAAAAAUAGAAAAAGGAAAAAGAAUUAUGAAAUAAAAAUAAAAUAUAAAACUCAAUUAACAAUAAACUUAUUGUUAAAUGUUGAAAUUAAAAAAAAAUCAAACUAGAAUUAUUCUAUAAUAAAAAACUUAAGUUUACAUAGCUUAAUUUGCAAAACAUGUGAUCUAAAUCAUAAAAAGCAAACCAUAUUAAAUCAUGAAGUCUAAUUUAUAAUCAACUCAAUGUUAAAUUAUGAAAUUAAAAAAACAAAAAAAAACUGAGCUAAUCUGUCAAACCCGUAAUACGAGUUAUGAGAUUGAGGCAAAACAUUAACAAAUAUUAUAAAAAAAAAACUUUGAGUUGUACCCUUGUUAUUUUUUAAAAACUCCCAUAGAAAGAGAGUAAAAAGAAUGUUAGAGGUUGAAAUAUGAAGGGAAAAAAAAAGAGCUUACAAAAAUGAAACAAUAAAUCAAAGAAGCUAAAGUGAACCUUGUAAACUCAAAUUAAACUAUCAAACUCGUAACACAUUAAAUUCUUGACCAGAGCUCAACACCUAAAAAAUUAAAUAUUGAAGGAUGAAAUCAAUCAAUUUAAUUCAGCUUAAAAAUAAAAUUCCUUCAUAAAAAAUGAAAUUCAACAAAGACGAAAACAAAAGAAAAAUCCAAGGCAACCUAUGUUAUUUUCAAAAAGAUUAAAAAAAUAUCAUAUAAAGUGAAUUAAAAAAAAAUGUUGGAGGAUGAAAAAAAAUAAAGAAACUGGGGUCAAUCUUUUAAACCUACGAACCAUUAAAUUCUAGACUCGGACUUUACUAAAAACCUAAAGACUCGUCUAAUUAAAUAUUGAAGGAUGAAAUAAUAAAAAAAAUCAUUUAAAAAAGAUCUCGCAAGGUAAAAAAAAUAAAAAUACAAUAAUAAAAAAGAAUUAAAUUUGAUAGGAAAAAACUAAAAAAUGAUGAAAUUGCAAAAAAAAAAAAGAAUUGUUGUGAAAACCAUCUAAAGUAAUUUAAUAGACUAUUCUAAAUAUAAAAAAAUGCAACAAAAAGAAACAAUGAUGAAAUUGAAAAAACCAUAUGAUUUCAUAAAAGUAUUCUAAAUUUAAAAAAAUAUAAUAAAAAAUAUGGAUGAAAUUAUAAGUAGAACAAACUUUAGAGACUAAUUUGAUUUUUGAAUUCCAAGACAAAAAUUGAGUAGGAGAGAGGAGAAAAAAAAAAAAACAAAAUGUCACAUGUGCCACAUUAGCCGUUAUAGUACUGCACACACUGCUGAUUGGUGGAGGAGACAUCAAGAUCCUUCAAAAGCCGCCCCUGUAAUCACGGUUUUAGCUAUCGAAUGACGCUGCAUAUACUGUCUAUAAAUGGCAAACACUGUUAACCCAAUUUCUUUUUUUAAUUUAAUUUUCUUAUUUACCAAAUUAUAUUCUUGCCUUUAAUGAUACCCAAUAACUAUUAAAUGACGAUAUUUAAAUGAUAAAAGAGCCCUGAGUCAAAGACAAUUGUUUUAAAUUUUCAUGUGCAAUUAAGUAACUUGUUGCAACAUCAAGUCAGACUAAAAAACCUCUAGAUCCAAGUAUUUUUUUUUUAUCUUUUAAAGAUAAUUAAAUAAUUAUAUUGUAUAAAAAAAAUAUAAAAAUAUUAUCUAAUUCCCUUUUUAGUAAUGACCAAUGUGUUUUAUGAAAAAUAAAAAUUCCCUUUAUUUUCCAACUUAAUUUUCUCAUAUUGGAAUAGGCCAACAUGCAGUUGACAACAUACUUGUGUAAAAAUUAAUUAGGACUGAUCUUGUUUGCUAAGUUUAUUUUUAUUUUGUCAUUUGCAGCCCAAAUUUGCUAAUGGGAUUGUCGCCAUUUAAUCAGCUCAUGUGUUGUGUAGGCCUGUGAGUGUUUCUUUUUAAAACUUUAAUUCUAUGUUGUGAUAAUCAAAUGGUUUUUAAAAAAAUCACAAAUCAAAUUAAAAUAUUAGACCAUGUUUAAUUAGUAUUUUAAGUUAGAAUAAACAAAUACAUGAGAGACAAAAAUAUAUUUGUUGAAGAAAAUGAAGAUAGUUACUUAAAAUAAAUCUGUUUUUGGAAUAAUUUUUUUUGAUGAAUUUUUAUAUUCUUAAAACAAAAAAUAUAUGAAAACAUGUCUUCUCUAUUAUUUUCACUAUCUUUAUCUUUUAUAUUCUAAAAUAAUAACUAAACACUAUUCUAAUCAUCAGUUUAAUAUUCCCCCCCUCUACGUAGGAAAUGAGGCUUGAACCUAUACUAUUGGAGUAUUGGAGGGUGGAGAAAUACAUUCCUCAUUUUUGCUAUGUAUCAAGAUAGACAUAUCUUGACAAAAAUUGAAGUAGAAUUUCUUUUAUCGGGUUUCAUGAAAUACUCCACUCACAAAUAAUUUUACAGGAUGAAAUUAAUUCACAUAAAUAUCUUUAGAUACAAGUUAAAUAAAUCUAAUUCUAAAAUUAAUUUGGAGUAAUGACUAUUGAUUGUUGAGGUUAUUUUGGUUUUGGUAUUUGUGGCCCAAAUUAUCUAAUGAACCAUUUUAUAAGCGCAUUUAAUAUGCAGGGGUGUGGGUGCUUGUUUUUACUCAACUUUUUAUUUUAUGAUGUAAUAAUCAAAUGCUUUAAAAACAAAUUAGAAAUCAAAUGAAAAAAAAAGAGGUUAUGUAGGUUUUGUUUGGUUAGUCUUCAAGGGAUGAGAGAUACAAAUAUAUUUGAUUAAAAAUAUAUAAAUAAAAAAAAUAUAUAAAUAUAUCUUUGUGAUAAUUUAGGAAUAAAUUUUAGUACUUUUAAGAUAACAAUCACAUAAAAACAUCGUUUUUAUAUUCAGAAUCUUUGAUUUUCUUAUUCUGAAAUGAUAAUGAUAAAUUUCAAUACCAUCAACUCCUCGAGCAAUUAGUUAUUGGAAGAAGAAGAAUACAUUAUUCAUUAUUUCUAUCAAGAUUCAUAAAUCAAGGACAUUAUUAUGAGCUUUUGAUUAAUAAUGUUAAGCCACAUAUGUUUAUAAAAAUAAUUUCUAUUAAACCACAUGAUAUGUUUGAGGAUUUGCAAUAUGAAUUUUAAAUUUAAUAUUAAUAAUUAUAGCUUUCUAAAAUAAGUUUAUUUAGUUAAUAAAAAUUGUUCCACUUUUGUUCUAUCCUUUUCUUUUUCUUUUGAGCUGCUCUGUCUCUUUUUCUAUCUCCCAUUUCUCAAUCCAUCAAAAUUCUAAAUACAUAGCAUUUAACAUUAAGAAUUAUAUCCAUUGAAUUAUACAUAUUAAUCACUUGAUGAAAAAUUAAAUAUAACUAGAAAAAAAUACAAUAAAAAAUGAUAGUAUAUUAAUCUAAGAUCCGUUGUACAUUAAUUAGUCGGUGGUUGCAUUCUAACACACUAAAUUGAGAUUUAUUUUUUGAAAUUACAAUAUAUUAUCUCUUCUAAAGCAUACGGGGUAACAUGGUCCCACGACUCACCUUAUCCCAUAGAAAAAAACUCUCGAUAGCAAUGGUCUCACGACUCAUCUCAAAUUGCACAUUCCUAUUCAUCUUAUUUCUUUAAUUGUGGAUUCAAUCAAUGUUAUUAAAAUCAAUUUUAAUAUAAAAUUAUUUUUAAUAUUAAUACAUUAAAAAAAUUAAAUAAAAAAAUCAAAUUUUAUUUUAUUUUUAUUUGGAACGCAGCACCAACUAGUUAUUAAAAUCUAGAUUAGCUAGAAAGGAUGUGAUUAAAUUAAUUAUUUCGUUAAAUGUGGUCAUUACAUUUUUAUACACCACUUUGAUUAUUCUUCACUUUCUUCACUCUUUCUAUGAUUUAAAAGUUAUUUAUUCAAAAAAAAUUAAUUGUGGAAUGGUAUGGUAGUUGGAUCUAUUUGUUUUUUUUUUUGUGGUUAAACUGAUUAUUUCGAUAAAUAUUUGGGGGAAAAUAAAAUUAAUUAUUGCUAGAGAGGCACUGGAGCCUGUGAUAUUUUGCUAGCACUGGAGCCUGUGAUAUUUUGCUAAGGCAUGGAAUUCGAUGCCAAGGGAAUGUAAGAUAGUCGUUGACUGCUGGCGUCAACGUGAUAAAGCAAUUAAUUAUAGUGAAAAUAAAAUAGUUAGCAACAACAACCCAAUUCAAAUUUGAUUUGAAAAUGCAAACCAAAGCUUGGCUUAGCGGUAGAAGGGGUUUGUCUCCUUCCACUGCAUCUGGGUUCGAGCCUUAGCGUGCACGUCUGUCACCCCCGCGGUGUCUUACAUGCCUACUGGGUUUGCAGGGUAUUCAGUGGGUCGUGGGGAUUAAUCGUGGGGCGCGCAAGCUGACUCGGACACCCCAUGUAAAUAAAAAAAAAAAAAGUUUGAUUUGAAAAUUAUCAGAAACUUUAUUAUUUUUUGCAAUGUAUGAAUAAUGAAAAUUCAGAAACUCUCCUUGCUGCAGGAAAUAGCCCUCGUUGUUGAAUUUGAAUCCACUGUAAAAAAUCACCCUGAAUCCAUUAAAAUAAUUCUGAAUUUUCACUAUAAUGAGACUUAUAGUGAAAAUCAUGCAGCAAUAAAAUAUACCCACAGAACAGGAGGCUAGCCGAGUCAAAAGAAGGUUUGCCUCGUCUAAAUGAUAUUUGUAGGUGGAUAAUGAUUAUAUUUUAAAAUAUUUUUAUUUUAAAAUAUAUUAAAAUGAAAAAAAAAUUUAAUUUAAAAAAUUAUUUUGACAUAACACAUUAAAAAAUAAAAAAAAAUAUUAUUCACUAUUGUUCUUUCCUUUUCUUCUUUUAAACUGUCUUGUCUCUUUUUCUAUUUUGUCUACCAUCUCUUAGGCUUUCAAGAUUCAAAAUACAAAGCAAUUAACGAUAGGAAUAUUGAUGAAAAAUUAAAUAUAACAAGAAAACAAAUACAAAAAUAAAAAUUAUUAUUUAAAGUAGUUUUUACAUAAAAAUAUAUUAAAAUAAUAUACUUUUUUAUUUUUUUAAAAUAUUUUUUUUAUAUAAAUUAAAAAUAUAAAAAAUUAAUUUUAAAUAAAAAAUAAAAUUUUAUCUAAUUUUUAUUUGGAACACAAUAUCAACGAAAAAAAAUGUAUCAAGAAACAAAGAUAUUCAAAGAAUAACAAAAAAUAAAUCAAACCAAAGCCAUGGAAUUAAAACCAAAAGAUGGACCAAAUUUGUCUCUACAUUGAACCAUGAUGAAGAGAUAAUUAUUUAUUUAUCAAAACAAUUAUUUAUUCUGAGAAAAACUCAAACUCAAUUUCAUUGGAUCAAAGUCACAACAUCAAAGUAAACAAGAAAAAAAGUAUUUAAUUGAUAUAAUAAUAAAAAAAAGUUGGUAUACUAAUAUAAAAAAAUAAAAAUGUACUAAAAUAAGUGGACUCAAAUAGAACGGAGGCUCUUUAUAAGUAACUUCUUGAGAGCUAGAGUGCUGGUAUCUCCCACAUAUCUUUGCCCAAGUAAAAAUGUCUCAGCCAAAAAAAAAAAACUAAAAGAAGUGCUGGCUGGUUCAAGAAAUUUCAGUACGAUGAAGUGAGAGACUCACCAAGGAAUUAUAUCCAUUGAAUUAUAUAUAUUAAUCACUUGAUGAAAAAUUAUAUAUAUCCAUUUCUCAAUCCAUCAAAAUUCUAAAUACAUAGCAUUUAACGUUAAGAAUUAUAUACAUUGAAUUAUAUAUAUUAAUCACUUGAUGAAAAAUUAAAUAUGACUAGAAAAAAAAUACAAUAAAAAAUGAUAGUAUAUUAAUCUAAGAUCCAUUGUCCAUUAAUUAGUCGGUGGUUGCAAUCUAACACACUGAAUUGAGAUUUAUUUUUUGAAAUUACAGCAUAUUAUCUCCUCUAAAGCAUACGGGGUAAUAUGGUCUCACGACUCACCUUAUCUCGUAGAAAAAAACUCUUGAUAGCAAUGGUCUCAUGACUCAUAUGAAAUUGCACAUUCCUAUUCAUCUUACUUCUGUAAUUGUGGAUUCAAUCAAUGUUAUUAAAAUCAAUUUUCAAUAUAAAAUUAUUUUUAAUAUUAAUACAUUAAAAUCAUUUUCUUCACUCUUUUUAUGAUUUAAAAGUUAUUUAUUCAAAAAACAUUAAUUGUGGAAUGGUAUGGGUGUUGGAUCUAUUUUUUUUUUUUUGUGGUUAAACUAAUUAUUUCGAUAAAUAUUUAACUAUAUGUAUGAAUUUUUUUACUUUUAUUUAUUUAUUUUUCUUGGGAUUUACAUUCUCCCCUCAUAAUAGAAAUUUUGUCCUCGAAAUUGGAGUGAUGUACUUGAAUUUAUAAACAAGUCGGGGAAUUUUUGUCUCAUUUCUGAUUUUCUCUCCCAUGUUUCUUCCUCGAUUUGUGAGCCUCAUCAUAAAACUCUAAUAAUGGGAACUUUCUUAUUAUGAAGUUUUUUCUCACCCCAAUCGAGUAUCUUUAUUGGUCUUAUUUCAAGUGUUAAGUUUUUUUUUACCUCCACUGGCACUUGAGGUAACAUUCUUGAAGGAUCUACAUUGGCUUUUCACAGCAAAAAAACAUAGAAUACAUUGUGAACCUUGGCCAAAUGUGAGUUUAUUUCAUAUGCUCACUUUUUCAAUACUGAUUUAUCCUACACUUUCUACCGAGCUUCAAAUGGGGCCAUUCCAAUUGUUGUCUAAUAACUAUUUUUAUACGUGAAUUCUACUAUUGACAGGUGCUCUUCCACCAAAUUCCAAAGCACAUGCUUUUAGAAAAUCUUUUAAGAUCUGGAUAACUCUCUUAGAUUGGUUGUCAAUCUGCGGAUGAAAGGUGGUACUAAUACUUAAAUUUGUCUCAAGGCAUGUUGUAUGCUCGACCACAUACAUGAAGUAAAUCUUGGGUCUGGGUCUGAAACAAUUGAUAUUGGGACUCCAUAAAACUUUACAACUUCAUUCAUAUAAAUCUUAGCCAACUUGUUAAUUGGAUCUAUCAUUUUUAUUGAUAGGAAAAGAGUAAACUUAGUUAAUCGAUCCAUAAUGACCCAGAUUGUACCCUUUCUCCUUUUCCAGGUAUCAUUUAUGAAAAGUAACUUCUAACUUCAUGUCAUAAUUUAAAGUAACUUUCGAUUAUUAACGGUGAAAUAACAAACUUUCAAUUUAUAUCUAAAUUUUGAUUGUAUAAGGUUCGGUUUUGUAAAUUAAUUUAAGUUGUUUUUUUUUUAUUUUUUACUCAAGAAAAAAUUAUAUCAUAAGUUAAAAUUUUUUUUUUAUUAAAGUAAAGCUUUGACUCAAUUUUAUAACAAAUCUUGAUUUAAGUCAAAAUUUAAAUUAUAUUUGUUACGAGUUUUGACUAGAAUUAACUUUUGAUUUAAAUCAAAACUUAUGACAAAAUCAAGUAAAAAAUUUGGGAUUGAGAAUGGAGUUAUAGAAGUUUUUAGGGUUUAAUAAUGAAUUACAUUUUCAUAAAUAACAUAGCAAAAUUAAAUAUUUUAGAAGAAGAUUCGAAGAUUGAGCUUUCGAAGAUCGAGCUUUAAUUGAGCACAAUAACAAGCUCAUCAUGUGGUUGUAGAUGUCAACGGAACGGACAAGAAGACACCAAGCGAUUAAUAAUUGAGCAGUUUAAAAAAAGGCACUGUGUGAUUGCAGGAAAACAUUGUAAAUUUGGGGACCAUUAUUCUACUUUUAGGGACCUCCAAAACAAUAAAUCAUCAUAACUAAGAAAAAUAAACUUCAUAAAAUGCAAAAAUUUCCCUUUAUUUUCCUACUCAAUUUUCUCAGGAUUCAAACACAAAUAUUGUUCCUACUCAGUUGACAAAAUUAAUUAGGACUGAUCUUGUUUGCUGAGUUUGUUUUUAUUUUGUCAUUUGUAGCACAAAUUUAUUAAUGGGAUUGCCGUCAUUUAUUUUUUUAAACUUUUAUUCUAUGUUGUGAUAAUCAAAUGUUUUUUUUUAAAUCAUAAAUCAAAUUAAAAAAAUUAGACUGUUUAAUUAGUAUUUUAAGUUAGAAUAAACAAAUACAUAAGAGACAAAAAUAUAUUUGUUUAAUUACAAAUUUGUUGCUUUUGAAGUUCUUUUAAUGUGAAAAUAGUAUUUAAAAAGAAAGUUUCAAUUUUUACUUUUUGACUCUAAUUGUUAAGAAAAUCUGAUAAAAACCAUUUUUUAUUAAUUGGCGGAAAGGCCUCAAUUUCACUCCUUUUAAAUUCAGUGGAUGGCUAAAGGAUUUAUCCAUUACUUUAGUUUUAGAAAUCUGAAGGAAGAAAUAAGAAAUAGAAUAUCAAAAUGAGGAGAAUGAGAAUCCAAACAUUAAACAAUAGCACACAAAUGAGUAAAAAUUAUGCCUUUCGUUUUUGAAGGCUCGGACACUUGAAAAGAAACACAAAUGGGAAAACAUACACAUUGGUAGCUAAUGAAACAGCUGGAAUUACUUCCCACCAAUGUCGCGUUGAUCAUCACAUAGGUAACCAACCAACCUAAUGCAAACAUCAAGAACAAAGAUCAUCGAGGCAUCUCGUAUUUGUUGAUUUAAAGAAGGAUAUAAAAUAAAUAGUUUCAGCCAUUUUACCUGGAAGAAUGAAUUAGUAGCAUGUUUUUUAAAUUCCAAUGCCAAACUAAUCAUCCUCUUCCUCUUUUUCCCCUUCCCACCCAUUAUAUGAGGUCCACGUUCUACAAGUGCUGGUUGGCACGGAGCAACCAGUGCUGGAACCCUCAGCUACUUGAGAUAC